rnacentral:rRNA from 1 species
UGCGCAGGCGGGGCAAUAAGUCAGUGGUGAAAUCCUGCAGCUUAACCGUAGAACUGCCAUUGAUACUGUUGUCCUUGAGUAUAGUUGAGGUGGGCGGAAUAUGUAAUGUAGCGGUGAAAUGCAUAGAUAUUACAUAGAACACCGAUUGCGAAGGCAGCUCACUAAGCUAUCACUGACGCUGAGGCACGAAAGCGUGGGGAGCGAACAGGAUUAGAUACCCUGGUAGUCC